rnacentral:lncRNA from 1 species
UCUGAUUUUUGAUUUUUUAAUGAUCUUGAUCUGAUAAGCUAAGAAAAUUUUAAAAUAAACUUAAAAUGUAAAGAUAAUUUCUAAUUCUGUUGUUGAGAUUCAUGGGCAUGGUAAAUAGAAUUUCCUUUUUCCUUUGGCACCUAAACAAAACUUGGCCUAUAUUUAAUUCUUCUGUUGGUGGACAGGGAGGAGGCUGAUCACAAGAGACCAGUAGUGCUAUUUGAAUGACGUGUCCUGCAAUCUGUUUUCAAAUGAUGAGUUAAUGUUUCAGCAGUAUUAUCUCUUUUUCUGUACCCUGCCUCUAUUCACUAGCUUUAUUUUACUUUUUCUCACUUUUACCUCACUCUUCUCAACGAUGCCAGAUACCUUGCAACAGGUAGUUCCAUUUCAGGGAUUCCCUGCUCACUGAAUGGCUGUCUGAUGAAGUCUGUCUGCUUUCAGAACUUUGCACAACUGAAGCAAUGCUAUGCUGCUGCCUAGAUGAGUGCAUGAAGUGAAUUUGGACUGGUUCAGUGGAAGGGAGCUGUUUAUGAAUGGACUCGAUUCACAGACGCAUGACAUCUGAAAAGAACCAAACAAAUCUCCUCCUCAGUUCCUCGCUGAAAAUUACACCACAUUUUGCUGCCUGCCUGGUCCUUCCCCACAGAAGAGGCCAAGCAAGCGUUCCUUAAUGCACCACAAGUAAAGCCAGCCUGGUUAGCUCAUAUCCAUGUUCAUCACCAGCCCAGACAGCCAUGCUACCAGAACUCAUGAUACUAGUCUUAAAGUAGACCUCAAAAACUUUGAGAAAGAAAAUGAUUCCAUCUUUUUUGAUCAGAUUCUUCCUCUACAAGAGUUCCUGCAGCUACAGGACCAGGAGGUAAGACCCUUGGUUUCAGUCAUAAAGGGGAAGAAUGAAUGAGAUUGCCAGAUACACUAAGUUUGCAGUCAGUGAGCUGAGAAAAGCAUGACUGCAAGCUGCCUUUCUGCUUUCCAAAUCCCAGACUGGUGAAAAAUCAAAACAUCGUUUAGGUCAGCCUGCAGGUAUAGAGUAUACUUCACCUCCCAUGAACUGGGGAUGGAAAGUGAAGGAAGGACUAUUGCAGUGCUGCUGGUUCUCCUCUCUCCAAAGACGUCCUGCUGAGGAGAAUCCUCAGUUGUCCAUUUAGGGUAGUAUUAGAGCUGAGCUGAACUGCUGAGGCAUGCAAAGAAGCUGCAGAUGGGACUGGGAGUACAACUCCACAUUUCUCUGUUGAGCCACCCAGUUACAGCAAAUGCCUGCUAUAGGUGGGCACUGAGGCUGCUGGUAAUGGCUGGAGGCAGAGAAAUGGGUCUGGUUUUAAUAAAGAGGUAGUUUACGAACA